rnacentral:misc_RNA from 1 species
GGAAUAUGUUCAAACUCCGAGCACAAUUCUGGGCAUUCGGAUACCAAUUAUUCUGUCUGAAGAGCUUCAAACAAGUCUGACAAGUACAAUAUUUCACCGAUGUUCUUCAAAAUCUACCAAGAAAUUAACGAUGUCUAUACAUCAACCACACGUUCAGCUGAUGAAUUCGUGUAAAGCACCAAGAGGCAACAAAGUGCCAUUUCAAUAAAUAGAGUCGUUCGCCAAAAAUCAUACAUCUCUAGUGAAAAGAUGUCAACACAAUUGCAUUUUUGCGAGUUAGAAUAUGGGUAUUGGAAAAAAUGAAUUUCAUUUUCAGAAGGAGAGUAGAUCUAUAGACGCUCCUCUGCUUUGCCUAGAAAAAAAAUUAUUUCUUCACUUCCUCGUAUUCAGCCUCAGGUGGUGAUUGAUCUCCUCCUUGUGAACCACUUGAGGCACCACCAGAACCGCCACCAGUCAUGUGCUCUCCAAUCUUGGAAACAGCUUUGUUCGCUGCAUCAAGUUUCAACUUGAUAUCAUCAAUGUUCUCAGCUCCCAUUGCUGCUCUCAAGUCCGAAACAGCUGUCUCAAUUUCUGUAACCACCUCUGCCGGGACCUUGUCCCUGUAUUCAUUCAAGCUCUUUUCAAUGCUGUAUAUGGUAGUAUCUGCACUGUUCCUGAUAUCAAUAAGCGUCUUGCGCUCUUGAUCCUUCUGCGCAUGCAUCUCAGCUUCCCUGACCAUCUUGUUUAUCUCAUCUUCCGACAGACCACCAGAUGACCGAAUGCUGAUCUGCUGCUCUUUGCCAGUAGCCUUAUCCUUGGCGGACACAGUCACCAUUCCAUUUGCAUCUAUGUCAAACAUCACCUCUAUCUGAGGCAUGCCUCUUGGCGCCGGAGGGAGACCUACAAGUUCGAAUUCACCCAAGACCUUAUUAUCAGAUGCCAUUUCACGUUCACCUUGUAAUACC